CCUACGGGAGGCAGCAGUGGGGAAUAUUGCACAAUGGGGGAAACCCUGAAGCAGCAACGCCGCGUGGAGGAUGAAGGUUUUCGGAUUGUAACCUCCUUUUGUUAGAGAAGAUAAUGACGGUAUCUAACGAAUAAGCACCGGCUAACUACGUGCCAGCAGCCGCGGUAAUACGGAGGGUGCAAGCGUUACUCGGAUUCACUGGGCGUAAAGAGCGCGUAGGCGGGAUAGCAAGUCAGAUGUGAAAUCCUAGGGCUUAACCAUAGAACUGCAUUUGAAACUGUUAUUCUAGAGUAUGGGAGAGGAAGGUGGAAUUCGUGGUGUAGGGGUAAAAUCCGUAGAGAUCAAGAGGAAUACUCAUUGCGAAGGCGACCUGCUAGAACAUAACUGACGCUGAUGCGCGAAAGCGUGGGGAGCAAACAGGAUUAGAUACCCCAGUAGUC
rnacentral:rRNA from 1 species